UAACUGCUGGGGCGCUUCUGAUAGCAGAAAGCUCUUCAGAGAUGGGCUCCUGGGGUGAGAGGAUCCCGGUUAGGGAGGAGGCCUCGCCACUGUGCCCAGAGCAGCACAGUGAGUCAGAUAUGAAGCUCUUGUCCCACCUGCCCCAACCCUCGAGCCCUGCUUCCCAGGUCUGCGUUCCCAGGCAGCCUGCCACAGCCAGUGCCAGCGAGAGGGUAGAUCAAGCUUCACGACAGCCCAACACUAAAGACGUCUAAAGCAGUCUUCAUUUAUUUAUUUAUUGUUCAUAGUGUCCAAAAAUUGGAAUUAAAGUGAAUGGUUGAAUAAAUUACGGUGCAUUCAUAUUUAAGAAUGUUAUGCAUCUAUUAAAAAGAAUGAAAUAGAGGUAAACCAAUGAUUAAUUUUAAUUAGAUAUUUAUGAAUAACAAAAGCAAGAUCAGGAAAACUGUAUGUAUUCUUUAGGUAAAGCAGUGAUUUAAAAUCUCUGUGUGUAUUUGUGUUUUGUUAGUUUGAGCUCACUAAAGUUCAGUGAAUCACUGACCAAGAUGAGGUUCCACUUGCAAGAGAUUUAUUGGGAAAAGCCCCAGGAAAAAUGUGUGUAUAUGGAUAUUUUAUUUCAUUAAAUAUAUAGAAUAAAAUAUCUUUAGAUGGAAUAAAAUAUCCAUAUACUUUAAAAUGUUUGAAUUGAAAUACAGUGAAGUGAAAAUUCCCCCUCCUAGUUUGGUUGCCCACCUCCCAUUUUUUUUUGAGACGUAGUUUCACUCUGUUUCCCAGGCUGGUGCAGUGGUACAAUCUCAGCUCACUGCAACCCCCGCCUCCUGGGUUCAAGCAAUUCUCCUGUCUCAGGCUCCCCAGUAGCUGGGACUACAGGUGAGUGCCACUACGCCCAGCUAAUUUUUGUGUUUUUAGUAGAGACAGAGUUUCACCAUGUUGGCCAGGAUGCUCUCGAUCUCUUGACCUCGUGAUCAGCCUGCCUUGGCCUCCCGAAGUGCUGGCAUUACAGGUGUGAGCCACUGUGCCUGGCCUUGGUUGCCGUUUUUUAGAGGCAACUGGUGCUAGUUUCUUGUGUAUGCUUCAAGAGAUACUUUAAUGCAAAAAAAAAAAAAAAAGUAAAUAAUCUUAUAGUCCACAAUCCCUUAUCUGGAACCCUUGGGGGCAGGUGUAUUUUGGAAUUGGGAAUUCAAGGAGUGUAGAAAGGUAGUGUGUAUAUUCUGUCAGAGUCCCAGCAGAGCCUGUGAUACACAAAUAUUUCUGUGAUACACAAAAAAUACACAAAUAUUUCUGCACCAAGUAAAAUAAAUAAAGCCAUAAUCUGCCUUAAGUCAGUUCAGUUCAGCCAGGUUUUGCGACCAAAUGUGUAUGUGUUAUUUAUUUCUUAGUUGUGUUCUUUGGAGAUUUUUGAAUUUUAUAAUUGUGGAUAAGGGAAUGUGGACUUGUGUUUGUGCUACUCUCCUUAUUUAAAAACUUACGGCAGCAUUCUGCACCUACUGGAUCAGACUAAAGAGCUUUUUCAUUAUUAUUUUUUUGUAUCCCCAUAGUAUUGCAUUAUACACAUGCACCAUUGCUAACUUAGCCUGUUCGUGGACAUUUGGAUUGUUUCCAAUCUUCUCCUCAGUUGCAUCAGUGCUGCAAUGAAUAACAUCGUGUACUCAUUUGGAACAUGUGCAAGCAUAUCUGUAGGAUAAAUUCCUAGUAGUGGAAUUGCAAAGUCAAUUAAUAAUAAUGAUAGUUAACAUCUGCAUGGGUAUUUACUAAGAGCUGGGAACUGUUGUAAGUGCUUUACAAUAAUUAAGGUAUUUUAAUCCUUGCAACAAUCUCCUGAGGGAGAUACUAUUAUCAUUCCAUGUUGCAGAUGAGAAAAACUGAGAUACAGAGAAGGUAAAGGACUUGUAGAGCUGGAAUUCAAGCCGAGGUGUUCUGACUCUAGUCUGUGCACUUAACCAUUACAUUCGACUGCCUUUUGAAGGUCAUGGGAAUUUGUAACUUAGAGAGACACUGCCAAAUUGUCCUCCGCACCGCUUUACCAAUUCAUGUUCCCACCAGCAGCCUGCGAGCCUGCUUGUUUCCCCGCCAACGCUGCGCUGAAUCAAACUUUUCGAUCUUUGCCAAUCUGAUAGCCGAAAACGGUGUCUUACUGUAGUUAAACUUGAAUUUCUUUUACUAUGAGUCAGAUUGAGUGUCUCUUCAUCUAAGGGUCAUUUGGACUUCCUUUCCAUAAACUGUCCAUUCAUAUCGUUUACUCCUUUUUUCAGUUUGGUUAUAUCUGUAACUUGUAUUGAGCUUUUUAUGUCUUAGGAAGAUUAGCCUUUAGUGGUUCAAAAGGUACAGAUCUUUGCUUAGCUAAUCAUUUAUGUUUUGAUUUUGCUGGUGAUGGGUUUUGGACAGAGUAUUAG
rnacentral:lncRNA from 1 species